AGAGUUUGAUCCUGGCUCAGGAUGAACGCUGGCGGCGUGCCUAAUACAUGCAAGUCGAGCGAACGGACGAGAAGCUUGCUUCUCUGAUGUUAGCGGCGGACGGGUGAGUAACACGUGGAUAACCUACCUAUAAGACUGGGAUAACUUCGGGAAACCGGAGCUAAUACCGGAUAAUAUUUUGAACCGCAUGGUUCAAAAGUGAAAGACGGUCUUACUGUCACUUAUAGAUGGAUCCGCGCUGCAUUAGCUAGUUGGUAAGGUAACGGCUUACCAAGGCAACGAUGCAUAGCCGACCUGAGAGGGUGAUCGGCCACACUGGAACUGAGACACGGUCCAGACUCCUACGGGAGGCAGCAGUAGGGAAUCUUCCGCAAUGGGCGAAAGCCUGACGGAGCAACGCCGCGUGAGUGAUGAAGGUCUUCGGAUCGUAAAACUCUGUUAUUAGGGAAGAACAUAUGUGUAAGUAACUGUGCACAUCUUGACGGUACCUAAUCAGAAAGCCACGGCUAACUACGUGCCAGCAGCCGCGGUAAUACGUAGGUGGCAAGCGUUAUCCGGAAUUAUUGGGCGUAAAGCGCGCGUAGGCGGUUUUUUAAGUCUGAUGUGAAAGCCCACGGCUCAACCGUGGAGGGUCAUUGGAAACUGGAAAACUUGAGUGCAGAAGAGGAAAGUGGAAUUCCAUGUGUAGCGGUGAAAUGCGCAGAGAUAUGGAGGAACACCAGUGGCGAAGGCGACUUUCUGGUCUGUAACUGACGCUGAUGUGCGAAAGCGUGGGGAUCAAACAGGAUUAGAUACCCUGGUAGUCCACGCCGUAAACGAUGAGUGCUAAGUGUUAGGGGGUUUCCGCCCCUUAGUGCUGCAGCUAACGCAUUAAGCACUCCGCCUGGGGAGUACGACCGCAAGGUUGAAACUCAAAGGAAUUGACGGGGACCCGCACAAGCGGUGGAGCAUGUGGUUUAAUUCGAAGCAACGCGAAGAACCUUACCAAAUCUUGACAUCCUUUGACAACUCUAGAGAUAGAGCUUUCCCCUUCGGGGGACAAAGUGACAGGUGGUGCAUGGUUGUCGUCAGCUCGUGUCGUGAGAUGUUGGGUUAAGUCCCGCAACGAGCGCAACCCUUAAGCUUAGUUGCCAUCAUUAAGUUGGGCACUCUAAGUUGACUGCCGGUGACAAACCGGAGGAAGGUGGGGAUGACGUCAAAUCAUCAUGCCCCUUAUGAUUUGGGCUACACACGUGCUACAAUGGACAAUACAAAGGGCAGCGAAACCGCGAGGUCAAGCAAAUCCCAUAAAGUUGUUCUCAGUUCGGAUUGUAGUCUGCAACUCGACUACAUGAAGCUGGAAUCGCUAGUAAUCGUAGAUCAGCAUGCUACGGUGAAUACGUUCCCGGGUCUUGUACACACCGCCCGUCACACCACGAGAGUUUGUAACACCCGAAGCCGGUGGAGUAACCUUUUAGGAGCUAGCCGUCGAAGGUGGGACAAAUGAUUGGGGUGAAGUCGUAACAAGGUAGCCGUAUCGGAAGGUGCGGCUGGAUCACCU
rnacentral:rRNA from 1 species